UCGCGGCUUAUCACCGGCAGUCUCCUUAGAGUGCUCAACUAAAUGGUAGCAACUAAGGACGGGGGUUGCGCUCGUUGCGGGACUUAACCCAACAUCUCACGACACGAGCUGACGACAGCCAUGCAGCACCUGUGUCCAGGUUCCCUUUCGGGCACACCCCCAUCUCUGGGAGCUUCCUGGCAUGUCAAGGGUAGGUAAGGUUCUUCGCGUUGCGUCGAAUUAAACCACAUGCUCCACCGCUUGUGCGGGCCCCCGUCAAUUCCUUUGAGUUUCAGCCUUGCGGCCGUACUCCCCAGGCGGGGCACUUAAUGCGUUAGCUGCGGCACGGAGGGAGUCGACACCCCCCACACCUAGCACCCAUCGUUUACGGCGUGGACUAC
rnacentral:misc_RNA from 1 species